GCCUUCUUCUUAUGUGCUUCCUAAGGCCAUCACGCCUGCUGAAGUCUCUCUCACACACGGCACACUUAAACCUCUUUUCAUUCGUGUGCAUUAUUGACACAUGGUUCUUUAGAUCAUAUUUGCUGGAAUAUUUAGCUGGGCAAAGAUGGCACGAGUGGUGUGGCUUCUCCAUCUUGUGCCACUUCACGUGGUUCUGCAGUGCUGUCACCUGCUUGAAGGCCUUGCCACACUCCGGGCAGUUGAGCAUCUCCACUCCAG